UCUUAACUGACUUCCCAGUUUAAAAAAAAUAUAUAUAUAUAUACAUACUACGGUCUGCUAUACCAUGGCUGUCAGCCAAUCAGUAUUCACGACUCCAACCACCCAGUUUAUAAUAAAGAAGGAUUCUGGAAAAUAUGCUGUCUGUUUCUAUGACUGUGUCAUGACUCUCCUGUGAGGAUCUGAAGGAUCAGGUUAGAGUGGGUCUGCUCUACAGCCUGUUCUCUCUCGUAGAGGGGAAUGUCAUGACUCUCCUGUGACGAUCUGAAGGAUCAGGUUAGAGUGGGUCUGCUCUACAGCCUGCUCUCUCUCGUAGAGGGGAAUGUCAUGACUCUCCUGUGAGGAUCUGAAGGAUCAGGUUAGAGUGGGUCUGCUCUACAGCCUGUUCUCUCUCGUAGAGGGGGAAUGUCAUGACUCUCCUGUGACGAUCUGAAGGAUCAGGUUAGAGUGGGUCUGCUCUACAGCCUGUUCUCUCUCGUAGAGGGGGAAUGUCAUGACUCUCCUGUGACGAUCUGAAGCAUCAGGUUAGAGUGGGUCUGCUCUACAGCCUGCUCUCUCUCGUAGAGGGGAAUGUCAUGACUCUCCUGUGACGAUCUGAAGGAUCAGGUUAGAGUGGGUCUGCUCUACAGCCUGCUCUCUCUCGUAGAGGGGAAUGUCAUGACUCUCCUGUGACGAUCUGAAGGAUCAGGUUAGAGUGGGUCUGCUCUACAGCCUGUUCUCUCUCGUAGAGGGGGAAUGUCAUGACUCUCCUGUGACGAUCUGAAGGAUCAGGUUAGAGUGGGUCUGCUCUACAGCCUGCUCUCUCUCGUAGAGGGGAAUGUCAUGACUCUCCUGUGACGAUCUGAAGGAUCAGGUUAGAGUGGGUCUGCUCUACAGCCUGCUCUCUCUCGUAGAGGGGGAAUGUCAUGACUCUCCUGUGACGAUCUGAAGGAUCAGGUUAGAGUGGGUCUGCUCUACAGCCUGCUCUCUCUCGUAGAGAGGAAUGUCAUGACUCUCCUGUGACGAUCUGAAGGAUCAGGUUAGAGUGGGUCUGCUCUACAGCCUGCUCUCUCUCGUAGAGAGGAAUGUCAUGACUCUCCUGUGACGAUCUGAAGGAUCAGGUUAGAGUGGGUCUGCUCUACAGCCUGCUCUCUCUCGUAGAGGGGAAUGUCAUGACUCUCCUGUGACGAUCUGAAGGAUCAGGUUAGAGUGGGUCUGCUCUACAGCCUGCUCUCUCUCGUAGAGGGGGAAUGUCAUGACUCUCCUGUGACGAUCUGAAGGAUCAGGUUAGAGUGGGUCUGCUCUACAGCCUGCUCUCUCUCGUAGAGGGGAAUGUCAUGACUCUCCUGUGACGAUCUGAAGGAUCAGGUUAGAGUGGGUCUGCUCUACAGCCUGCUCUCUCUCGUAGAGGGGAAUGUCAUGACUCUCCUGUGACGAUCUGAAGGAUCAGGUUAGAGUGGGUCUGCUCUACAGCCUGCUCUCUCUCGUAGAGGGGAAUGUCAUGACUCUCCUGUGAUGAUCUGAAGGAUCAGGUUAGAGUGGGUCUGCUCUACAGCCUGCUCUCUCUCGUAGAGGGGAAUGUCAUGACUCUCCUGUGACGAUCUGAAGGAUCAGGUUAGAGUGGGUCUGCUCUACAGCCUGCUCUCUCUCGUAGAGGGGGAAUGUCAUGACUCUCCUGUGACGAUCUGAAGGAUCAGGUUAGAGUGGGUCUGCUCUACAGCCUGCUCUCUCUCGUA